rnacentral:lncRNA from 1 species
CAUCCAUGUGUGUGCCUCCUUGCCAUAACCCCAUCCUUUAGUUGCCUUGUUGCUCUGAAUCCGACAUCUCAUGCUAGCAAAUACUCCCUCCUUCCCAUAAUACAAGAACGUGUUUUACACUACACUAGUGUAAAAAACGUUCUUAUAUUAUGGGACGGAGGGAGUACAUCACAACAAAGGACUGGAUAAACAGAGUUUUUUUAAUGUUACAUAGCAGCUCAUACUUCAUUUGACAAAGAUACAAAUACAUAAGAUUUGUAAACCAGCAAAUUGGAAUCGAACACAAAUUGCACAUAACUGAAGGAGAAGGUACCAAAAACAACAUUGUUGUCAUAUAAUAGUUGCAAGCCUUCAUUUUUACAGAGUAGAUUGAUUAUUGACAGGUUUAAUUUUGUUGACCAAAAAUAUAAGUUAGUAUAGAGUCUGGUAUUGCACAUCAAUGGAUCAAAUGCUUUUUGUUAUGUCUCAUACGAUGAACAGUUUGGAAAAAAUGUAAGACUUGAAAGGUUUCUAUUUAGUAUUUACAACUACUAUAAUAAUGCACUUCCUCCAUCCCAAAAUAAGUGUCUCAACUUUAGUACAAAGUCGAGACACUUAUUUAGGGCAUAGCUAAAAAGAAUAUACGUCUAGUUCUAAUAUUACUAUUUUUAUAUAGCUAGCAGAAUACCUUUGUGCUAUGUGAUUUAAAACAAAAGAUAUCAGAUUAUUUAAAAAAACAUCUACAUCACCUUCAUGAUGCUUUUUCAAUAUAAACAACACAAAUCGUUUCAACUCGUAAUGUAAUGUGCUCUUCAAGGUGAAAAAAAUAUAAUAUGUACGUACUUGUUCCUUAUAUUGUAGCACUUGUUUGUUAUUCUGAAAGAGUUGUUCAUUCCCUUCCCAAAAUACUUAGCGGACAUCCGUGCAUAAUACACAUGGUUGUCUUAAGAGAGUACUGAAGUUGGUUUUUGUUAUCCUCCAAAAGAUAGUGUAUUGCACACUGUACUUACCUUCAGGGAGAAAAUAAAUGAAUAGAGAAGCCAUCUCCUCCAGCCUGGAGAUCUUCUCAAGCACAACCUCACACUUCUCCUGCAAAACAAAUUCAUAGUUCAAACAUCUAACUUCGUUAUGCAUGCAACUACUCGGUACAAAAAUGAUAAUUGAGACUGAGAAGUCCGCUCCAAUUUCAGUACCUUCAGGAACAACACUUCCACGUCCAGCUAGUUGCUGCCUCGGUUCACUCCAUACAAUGAGAAAUGAUAAACUUGUGUCACAUCUACUGCAGAUUAGAAAUCAGAUAAUGCAAGAAAACAUCCACAUCAAGGAAACCAUUAGUAAAUCAAAAUAUAAACAUAUGUGCACAUCUCAUUUUUCUGAGUUAUGAUAAAUCUCAGAUUGAUAGUCUUGUAAGAAUAGCAGUUGCCAUCAAGCAUCAAGUAAACAAUUUGUGAACAAGUAUCAAAGAGCAAGAUUAACAUGUAGCAGACAAAUUCAGCUGCAUUACUUGAUUUAACAACAUUCCAAGGCAUCAAUACAAUAGCAACUCUGUUUGACAGUACAAGCUUCAGUGAAUAAACACAACAAAAGAUCAAUUUGCAAGCACCAUACCGAAUAAUAAGGUCACCAGGAAAGUAACCGGUCCUGGUUCCCCGUGGUCUAGCGCUUAGGCCACUUCAUAGCAUAGACAAAGCAAGAUAUUGAUUUGCAUCACCUAAAUAAUAGUAGUAGAAAACAAUCAAUAAACACAUAUCCUUCUUAUUAUCAAUCAAAAGUACUUGAAACUAAAAUUACAGAAGAACAUUUAUCUCCUAAGAGCAUGACCUAACCACAUGCUGAAUCAAAUUGUCAUAAUUUUUGGAAGUUUC